rnacentral:lncRNA from 1 species
UCGGCUCGGGAUGCGGGGUAGGUUGCUUCGUUUCCCUUGGGUCCUCCAGGGGUCAGUUGGUCUUCGCCCUUUUGUGAAGAGAAACUGCCGUCAAGUAGCACUGUCUGGACUCCCGAGGGCUCCCCCAGACCUCCCCAGUCCCUGUGUGGGUCGGGAACUUCACCGUCUGGUGGUAGGUGGAGACUACGGCCCUAAUCUUGUUGAGGGUGGGGCGACCGAGGAUGGCAUUGUACGCCGUAGGGAGAUCCACCACUAGGAAGGUGGACAUCACCGUCUUUGAUAUGGGUGGUGCUCCUAGAGUCAGGGG